GAUGUAUAUCGGGUAAAAGGGAAUCAGGUGAAAAACCUGAACGGUCCGGCCACUGUAAGCAAAGAGUACUGCCUCAUAAUCCAUUGUAUACCCAUUUUUGCGAGAAGGAGAGGCAGUGCAGUGAAGUGCAAGUCAGGAAACCUGCUUGGUACA
rnacentral:ncRNA from 1 species